CGAACGCUGGCGGCGUGCUUACCACAUGCAAGUCGAACGGAAAGGCCCCUUUGGGGGUACUCGAGUGGCGAACGGGUGAGUAACACGUGAGUAACCUGCCCUUGACUUCGGGAUAACUUCAGGAAACUGGGGCUAAUACCGGAUAGGAAUCCUUGCUGCAUGGUGGGGGUUGGAAAGCUUCGGCGGUUUUGGAUGGACUCGCGGCUUAUCAGCUUGUUGGUGGGGUAGUGGCUUACCAAGGCUUUGACGGGUAGCCGGCCUGAGAGGGCGACCGGCCACAUUGGGACUGAGAUACGGCCCAGACUCCUACGGGAGGCAGCAGUGGGGAAUAUUGCACAAUGGGCGGAAGCCUGAUGCAGCAACGCCGCGGGCGGGAUGACGGCCUUCGGGUUGUAAACCGCUUUCAGCAGGGGCGAAGCUUGUGGUGACGGUACCUGCAGAAGAAGCACCGGCUAACUACGUG
rnacentral:rRNA from 1 species